rnacentral:ncRNA from 2 species
GGCUGUUCCGAGGGGGGCUCCGACGAGGAGCUGAGAUACCGCUUGCUGGCAUUCGCAUGGAGCGAAUCACCAGGGCGCGGUGACCCUUUGAACCUGAUCCGGGUCAUGCCGGCGAAGGGACAGGGAUGUACCAGACCA